ACAGAUUAGACAUUAUAUUUUUUUUUAAAUGAACCAAUAUUCUUUAAAAUUAUAUAUUUAUGAUCUCAAAAAUAUAAUUAAUUAUUUUAAUAAUAUUGAUAUUUUGCCAUGGCAAAAUAAUUUUUUAAACUAAUAUUUAUUUAUUCAGUAUUUUGUAUUAUAAAAUUUAUAUGUUUUGAAUUCCUCUAUACCUUAUUGAUAUAAUGCCUAAUCUGACAGACCAUUCCCCAUCAGCAAAGACAGACAAAACAAUUCUUCAACAAUUGAAUCUAGAAUUUUAAGAGACAAAUUUAAAAAAUUUUUAAACUCUUAAUUAUUUUUUUAUAUAUUAUUGUUAAUUAUAUCAAAUAUGUAAUUGAUUUUGUUAUUAUUUAGAAUAUUACCUAAUAAAUAUAUUUAUAUAAUAAAAUAUAA